rnacentral:rRNA from 1 species
UACGUAGGGGGCUAGCGUUGUCCGGAUUUAUUGGGCGUAAAGAGCUCGUAGGCGGCUUGUCGCGUCGACUGUGAAAACCCGAGGCUCAACUUCGGGCUUGCAGUCGAUACGGGCAGGCUAGAGUUCGGUAGGGGAGACUGGAAUUCCUGGUGUAGCGGUGAAAUGCGCAGAUAUCAGGAGGAACACCGAUGGCGAAGGCAGGUCUCUGGGCCGAUACUGACGCUGAGGAGCGAAAGCGUGGGGAGCGAACAGG